GGCCGCCUUCAACCACGUGUCUCCACCGCUCCCUCUUUCGUUUCCAUUCCCUCGCCGCCUCCACCUCCUCCUCGCAGAACGGGCAUGGCAGUAGCCAGCGCUGGAGCUCGGGGAGGGGUGGAGGUCGAGGCGUGGACGGGCCGGGGGCAGCGGUGCUUGGGUCCAACACAGGCGAGGUCUAGGUGGGAACAGGCUGGGGGCGGCAGAGCGCAUGUUGGGUGAGCUCUCGAAGCUCGAUUCUGGUGCCGCCGAGCUCGAGGUAAGGAAAGCCAUCGGGAUAACCAUGAAUGUGUACAAAAAUGCUCGGAUCAAUGGAAAACAAGGGGCUGCACUCAGGUGCUCCUCACCUUCCUCUACUACAACGGCGGUUCGUUGAAUGUGAAAUAAAUAAAAAGGACGGAUGGAUACAUAGAGCGAGGUGCCCCUUGGCCUUGGGUGUCAUGUUAAAAUGGUGUCCUCCCUCCUGACGUGUCCCGGAUGAACAAAUAAAGAGGAAAAUUUGAGUAUCUUCCGUUGGAGAAGACGCCAUUAUAGACCGGUAAAGACCGUCGGCGCGUCGGCCUUCUCGCCGCCGCCGACGAGUACCAGAAUGCCGGCGUUGAACCAUGGCCGGAACUGAAAACCGGUCCACGGCUGCCCGCCUAUUUGUACUACACCAACAAAGGAAAAGCAGCUCGGGAAUUACCGUAUAAAGCGAAGGAAAGCGGUUUUCCUGAAAGGCGCCUUCCUUUUCCCAUCUGCACACUUCCGCCACAUCACAGCACCGCCGCCGGGACAGCUUUGCUUUCCCACCUCCUCGCGCCGCCGGGAUCCGCGUAGAGCUCGUCCUCCCCGCCGCCGCCGGCAGGAGCUCCCUCGCUCGCUUGCUCGCCGGGAACCCCGUCUCCCGCCGGCCGCCGCACCCUUCUCCGCCGUCAGAGGAAAGCAGCAGGCAAAGCGGAACAGCGCGGGCCGAGGAAGGGGUAGGUGAGGAGGGGAGAUGGCCGGCGCGGGGAGGAAGGUGGCAGUCGCCGCCGUGCAGUUCGCCUGCACCGACACGGUGG